rnacentral:rRNA from 1 species
GACGAACGCUGGCGGCGUGCUUAACACAUGCAAGUCGAACGCUGAAGCCUAGCUUGCUGGGUGGAUGAGUGGCGAACGGGUGAGUAACACGUGAGUAACCUGCCCUCUUCUUUGGGAUAACGCCCGGAAACGGGUGCUAAUGCUGGAUAUUCACUGAUCUUCGCAUGGGGGUUGGUGGAAAGGUUUUUUCUGGUGGGGGAUGGGCUCGCGGCCUAUCAGCUUGUUGGUGGGGUGAUGGCCUACCAAGGCUUUGACGGGUAGCCGGCCUGAGAGGGUGACCGGUCACAUUGGGACUGAGAUACGGCCCAGACUCCUACGGGAGGCAGCAGUGGGGAAUAUUGCACAAUGGGCGAAAGCCUGAUGCAGCGACGCCGCGUGAGGGAUGGAGGCCUUCGGGUUGUAAACCUCUUUCGCUCAUGGUCAAGCCGCAGCUUUGGGUUGUGGUGAGGGUAGUGGGUAAAGAAGCGCCGGCUAACUACGUGCCAGCAGCCGCGGUAAUACGUAGGGCGCGAGCGUUGUCCGGAAUUAUUGGGCGUAAAGGGCUUGUAGGCGGUUGGUCGCGUCUGCCGUGAAAUCCUCUGGCUUAACUGGGGGCGUGCGGUGGGUACGGGCUGACUUGAGUGCGGUAGGGGAGACUGGAACUCCUGGUGUAGCGGUGGAAUGCGCAGAUAUCAGGAAGAACACCGGUGGCGAAGGCGGGUCUCUGGGCCGUUACUGACGCUGAGGAGCGAAAGCGUGGGGAGCGAACAGG